rnacentral:tRNA from 1 species
GGGAUUGUAGCUCAGUGGUAGAGCAUUCGCCUCAAAUGUGUGAAACUCUGGGUUCAAUCCCCGGCACCA